CGGCGGUGGAACUCCGGGGAGAUGCUGGUUGGGGCAGAGGUGAUGAUCCAGGAUGCGGGCCAGCGUAGGGGUCUUGGUGGGCAUGCUGGGGUCGGAUGGAGCGCAGGAGGGAGAGGAGUCCCCGGGACAGGUGGGUACCUGGGCUGGAGGCGGGGCCUGAGGUGGGCAGGUGCAGGGGACGUGACUUCAUUCAGGGGCAGGGCCUGGGGCUAGGCUGAAGCUGGGAGUGAGGAUCCCGCUCUCGGGUGUAAUUGGAGGGGACCCGCGGUUGGGCGAGGCAGGGCUCACAGGGACACCCCCGUUCUCCUCCCCAGGGAGAUGGUGCUCGUCGUGCACAGCUGUGGAGAUUCAGUGACCUGCUGGGUGUUGCUGAGCUGUGAGGAAGUUCAGGUCUGGCUGCAGUGAUGAGGCUGUGACUCAAUCAAUCGCUGCUGAUGCUCCCAGGACCUUUAUCAGCUUAGUCCCAGGGGGAAGCAUUUUAAACCCCCACCUCCAUUUCCUCAUCUGUAAGAUGCAAAUAAGAGUCACCCCUGCCUUACGGGACGGAGCCGUAUAAUGCCCGGAACAGUGCCUGCUGAACAGAGGGGCUUGCUGCCAGCUCCCUCUCCCUCCUUGUCUCUUACCUGUCUGCUGUCUGGGACGGGAUGAAGCGGGGCCCUUGUGUUGCCCCAACCCUGGCUGUUGGCUAAGAGCCCACGUGAUCUGCCUGGCAGAGGAGUUCCUUCCAGAAGAACCAGGGCAGCUUCUGCCCCUAGAGGGCCAAUGCCCUAGGUGAGUACAGUCCCCUGGCCCCAGCCUGGUUCAGCUCUGGGAAGAGGGUUCGCAGUUUUGCAAUCCAGGCCGGGACAGCCGAGUCCUGAUCUUGGUAUUCAGGGCUGAGCCUGGAGGGGGCUUGUGAUGCCUGACUCUGUAUCUCUCUCUGGCCCCAUGCCUUGGUAGCUGUGAGGUGUCACUGCUUUGGGUGACUUGAUCUGGCUGUGCCGGAUGAGCACGGAAGAAAUAGUAGAAGACUCGGAAUUAGAAGACGUGAGUGGGCUUUGGCCCCAGCCUCCCUACCCCACUCCCUGCCCUGGGCUGCCUGUGACCAACCUUCUUGCUUCUGCAGGCACACUGGACAGCCCUGCUGGAGACCUGAUCCUCAGUGUCCCUAACCCCGUCCAGAUACUGGUAGCCUAGGCGAGGUCCUCAAAGACCAGUGGGACAUCGACUUCAGCCCAUCUCCAGGCUCUUUUUUUUUUUUUUUUUUUUUGAGACAGUUUCACUCUUGUUGCCCAGGCUGGAGUGCGAUGGCGCGAUCUCGGCUCACCACAACCUCCGCCUCCCGGGUUCAAGCGAUUCUCCUGCCUCAGCCUCCAGAGUAUCUGGGAUUAUAGGCAUGUGUCACCACGCUUGGCUAAUUUUCUAUUUUUAGUAGAGACAGGAUUUCUCCAUGUUGGCCAGGCUGGUCUCGAACUACCAACUUCAGGUGAUCUGCCUGCCUUGGCCUACCAAAGUGCUGGGAUUACAGGAGUGAGCCACUGUGCCCAGCCUUCUCCAGGCUCUUGACACCUUAGCCAGAAAUAAUUUAAGGACAAGUCCAAAAGUAAUGAACGCAGGGAGAUUUCUUGCAGAGUAAAAGGACUCACUCAAGAAGAGGAAUGUGGGGGUCCUCAAGAGAGUGUCUCAUGCCCUACAAGGUUUGGGGCUGACCUUUAUGGGCUUCUUUAACUAAAGAGGGGUAUAUUCAUGAAGAUUCCAGGAAAAGGUAAAGAUUUCUCAAGACCGUGGUGCCACAAUUUAUGCCCAAAUACAGGUGUUCCUGGAGCUGUCUUGGCACUGGUGGGUGUAUGGUUUCAUAUGUUACUGAUCGUACAGUGAGAUCCUAGGUGAAACUACAUCAAAUACAGCGCCAUGUUGUGUCUGGUUGGUGGUAGCCAGCUUGGUCCUCAUCCUAUUUUUCAGGGACUUACUGGCCCUUAGCACAUGCAGCUAUUUCAAGUUUCCUUCUUCUGCUCAUGUGAAACUGCUGCCUGGGAUUUUCUAUUCACUUGCUAGCACUCUAUUAAUCUCACAUUCUCACCUCUUUUCUGUGCCACCCCGUGUGGGUCCGACAGGUUGUUACUAGAGUGCAAUACAAAGUCUUAGUCAAGGCGGGACCUCCUGAAGGCUGCUGAGGGCAGGGGCGGAGCUAGUAGCCUGAGGACCUGCCAGUCACGGGGAUUCCUCAGGGGCCCAGAGGAGGGAGGACGGGCCCAUGGCCCUAGCAUAUGAGAAGCCUCUCCUCUGCCUGGAAGCCCCAGGCCUCAGCUUCCCCCACACUCCCACCUGCCCGCUUGCCUCUGAACUCACACGUUUCUUGGAAGGCUUGGGAGACUCACCUUUACUCAGAUGGUUGGUUACCUGUCUCGUGCCCAGCUUCACCCUGGACUUUAAAGUGAGGAUAAAGAAGGAGGAGGGUGGGGGGAUGCCCUCCUACGGGGCCCUGUGGCUUCCAAGCCUCGGCCUCCUCUGUUCUCUUGUUUGUGGAGCCUCCUUCAAACCCAGGGAAACAAAACCACCUGCCACAGGUUGUGGUUCUAGGAUCUUCUAUCGAUGUUCUGUGAGGUCCCCAGGAGCCAUGAAGCUGGGGCUGGCUCCCAGGGCAAUGGGACUGCAGUGUCCUUGUUCUUUCUUGUUCUAUGCAUCCAUGCUCUGCUCCACCCCUGCCCCUUCACUCUGCCCACACACAUCCCUCCAGACUGGCCUUGUGGUCAGAGCCUGGAGUGCAUGGGCUGCUGGGGGCCUGUGGGCUGCACUGGGCCAGAACCCCUGGCGCCUUCAAGACUGGCCUGGAGCCAGCAGGUAGGUGACCUUUCCGGGCCUAUCCCAUCUUUCUCCUCCAAUCCCUCCCCUCUCUUGCCUGGGUCAAUUAGAGAAAGCUUGUCUGUUGGCCUGCCUGGCAGGGUGGAGUUCAGGGGCAGGUCAGGAGCCCCGUGAUAGCUCAAAAAACAAACAAAACAAAACAAACAAACCUACAAAAACAAACGCCACCAUUGGGCCCUUUCCCCUUUCAUUCUUCUGUUUUCUACACACCAAACCCAGUCGUGGCUUUGGAGAUCACUUUAAGCUUGUCUCUAGCUGGCAAACUAAGGAGGGUAAUGGAGAAGCUCCCCCACCCCCAACCCCGCCUCUUCCUUCUGGGAGCAAAUCUAAGUCUGGCCCUGGCUCCAGAUCCCUCCCAAACUGGACCUACGAAAUCCUCAGCACAGAAAACACCCCUGCGUUCCACACACAGCACCCACACUCAGCCACUGCGGGCAAGGAGGGCACAGGCCAGGUUCCCGAGAGCUCAGGUGAGUGACACACUGGAAUGGCCCAGGGCGCCCUCACCCUGCUCAGCUUCUGGCUCCAACAUUCCAGAAGCUAAGGCCUCUGCCAUCCCUGCCCUUUCCCAUCCCCCUCUCUUCCUUUUUUUUUUUUUCCCGGGGAGGCCAGGUCUUGCUGUCACCCAGGCUGGAGUGCUGUGGGAUCCUGGCCACUGCAGCCUUGAAUUCCUGGGCUCAAGUGAUUCUCCUGCCUCAGCCUCUGGAGUAGCUAGGACUAGAGGCCCUCACCAUCCUGCCUGGUUAAUUUUUUAAAAUAUUUUUUAAAGAUUUUAAAAGAUGGGGUCUUGCAAUGCUGCCCUAGGUUGGUCUCCAACUCCUGGCCUCGGCCUCCCUAGGGUCUGGGAUUACAGGCAGGAGCCACCCUGCCUGGGCCCAUCCUUUUGCUGAGUCAUCAGAGUUUUGUUCAUUCUCAUACCAGCUCUGGCCCCUAGUAGCAGCUCAGUUCCUCAAUGGGCCGUGUUUGUCCUGGAGCCCAGAUACACUGUGGCUUGGCAAGUGGAUCACGGACCUGGCUGGCCUGGGAGGUUUCCACAUGUGAGGGGUUCAGGGGCUCAAGGAGGGGAGCACUGGGGAGAGGAGCCCACUGGGUGGAGGCUGGGGGGUCACAGCAGGAAAUGGUGAGACAAAGGGCGCUGGCUGGCAGGGAGACAGCACAGGCAGGUCCUAGAGCUUCCUCAGUGCAGCUGGACUCUCCUGGAGACCUUCACACACCCUGAUAUCUGGGCCUCCUGCCCCACGAGGGUGCUUUCACUGGUCUGCACCAUGGCCCAGGCCCUGGGAUUUUGAACAGCUCUGCAGGUGAAUGAAAGGUGCAGCCAGGCUGGGGAACCACCGCAUUAGAGCCCGACCUGGUUUUCAGCCCCAGCCCCGCCACUGACUGGCUUUGUGAGCACGGGCAAGUCACUCAGCCUCCCUAGGCCUCAGUGACUUCCCUGAAAGCAAGAAUUCCACUUUCUUGCUGUUGUGAUGGUGUUAAGGGAAUGGGCCUGGCUCUGGCCCCUGACGCAGGAACAUGGAGCUGAUCCAGGACACCUCCCGCCCGCCACUGGAGUACGUGAAUGGGGUCCCGCUCAUCAAAUACUUUGCAGAGGCACUGGGGCCCCUGCAGAGCUUCCGGGCCCGGCCUGAUGACCUGCUCAUCAGCACCUACCCCAAGUCCGGUAGGUAAGGAGGGCCACCCACCCUCUCCCAGGCGGCAGUCCCCAGCUUGGCCAGCGAGGUCGUGCCCUCAGCCUGCUCACCUCCCAUCUCCCUUCCUCUCCAGGUACCACCUGGGUGAGCCAGAUUUUGGACAUGAUCUACCAGGGUGGUGACCUGGAGAAGUGUCACCGAGCUCCCAUCUUCAUGCGGGUGCCCUUCCUUGAGUUCAAAGCCCCAGGGAUUCCCUCAGGUAUGUGUGUGUCCUGGGUACAAGGGGAGUGGAGGAAGACAGGGCUAGGGCUUCAGCUCACCAGACCUUCCCUGAUCCACUGCUCAGGGAUGGAGACUCUGAAAGACACACCGGCCCCACGACUCCUGAAGACACACCUGCCCCUGGCUCUGCUGCCCCAGACUCUGUUGGAUCAGAAGGUCAAGGUGAGGCCAGGCACAGUGUUUCACACCCGCAAUCUCAGGACUUUGGGAAGCUGAGCUGGGAAGAUCCCUUGAAGCCAGAUGUUCCAGAGCAAUCUCUUCCAAAAAAAAUUAGCUGGGCGCGGUGGCGGGCGCCUGUAGUCCCAGGUACUCGGGAGGCUGAGGCAGAAGAAUGGCAUGAACCUGGGAGGCGGAGCUUGCAGUGAGCCGAGAUCCCACCACUGCACUCCAGCCUGGGUGAGGCAACAGAAAAAAAGAAAGAUCAAGGUCUUUUUUUUUUUUUUUUUUUUUUUGAGACUGUCUGUCUCAAUAAAUAAAUAAAUGAAUAAAUAAAAAUAAAAUAAAAUAAAGUAAAAUAAAUCCCACAAUUAAAAGAAAAAGCAAAGGUCCAGGUGUGGGGCAUGUGAAUCCCGGGAAGGAGGCCCCGGCUCAGUCCAGCUUUGGUCCUGUUCUUCUGGGAAAGUCACCUCACUUCCUCCAUCCUUGUCUCAUCUUCUGCGGGGGGCGGGGACUGUCUGCCUCUUGCUCUGAUGAUCAAGAACAUGAGACUCUUCCGUGUAGACCUAAGAAAGGUAGAGGGUGUGUCCUCACAAGCCCACAAAAUUUGGUGGUGGUGGGAUCACGCCUGGUGGAGCACGCCUUGCUCCAGAUCGGGGUGUGACGCAUUGAUGCAGAUUAUAUUACUAUAGAAUAUGAUGGUCUCAGGGACCAGGCAGGACUUUUGCUUCCGAGCAGGGUUCAGAUCCCGGCUCGGCCCUACCUGUGCCGUGAGAUCUCAAGCAAGGCAGCCUCUAAGCCUCAGGUUCCUCCUUUGCCAAUCCAAGAGAUGAGCUGGCCUGGGGCGGGCUGUGUGGUGAUGGUGCUGGGGUCGAGUCCUCUGCCCCUGCAGGUGGUCUAUGUUGCCCGCAACGCGAAGGAUGUGGCAGUUUCCUACUAUCACUUCUACCACAUGGCCAAGGUGCACCCUGAGCCUGGGACCUGGGACAGCUUCCUGGAGAAGUUCAUGGCCGGAGAAGUGUCCUACGGGUCCUGGUACCAGCACGUGCACGAGUGGUGGGAGCUGAGCCGCACCCACCCUGUUCUCUACCUCUUCUAUGAAGACAUGAAGGAGAACCCCAAAAGGGAGAUUCAAAAGAUCCUGGAGUUUGUGGGGCGCUCCCUGCCAGAGGAGACCGUGAACUUCAUGGUUCAGCACACGUCGUUCAAGGAGAUGAAGAAGAACCCUAUGACCAACUACACCACCAUCCCCCAGGAUCUUAUGGACCACAGCAUCUCCCCCUUCAUGAGGAAAGGCAUGGCUGGGGACUGGAAGACCACCUUCACCGUGGCGCAGAAUGAGCGCUUCGAUGCGGACUAUGCGGAGAAGAUGGCAGGCUGCAGCCUCAGCUUCCGCUCUGAGCUGUGAGAGGGGCUCCUGGGGUCACUGCAGAGGGAGUGUGUGAAUCAAGCCUGAUCAAGGGGAGAAUCAAUCCUGACCAAGAAUAAAAUAUGAAUUGAGGGCCAGGGACGGUAGGUCAUGUCUGUAAUCGCAGCAAUUUGGGAGGUUGAGGUGGGAGGAUCAUUUGAGCUCAGGAGUUCAAGACCAACCUGGGCAACAUAGUGAGAUUCUGUUGAACAACAACAACAAAAUAACAAAAUAAAAUCAAUUUUUGAAAAG
rnacentral:sRNA from 1 species